CCUACGGGCGGCAGCAGUGAGGAAUAUUGGUCAAUGGACGAGAGUCUGAACCAGCCAAGUAGCGUGAAGGAUGACUGCCCUAUGGGUUGUAAACUUCUUUUAUAUGGGAAUAAAAUGUUCCACGUGUGGGAUUUUGUAUGUACCAUAUGAAUAAGGAUCGGCUAACUCCGUUCCAGCAGCCGCGGUAAUACGGAGGAUCCGAGCGUUAUCCGGAUUUAUUGGGUUUAAAGGGAGCGUAGGUGGAUUGUUAAGUCAGUUGUGAAAGUUUGCGGCUCAACCGUAAAAUUGCAGUUGAAACUGGCAGUCUUGAGUACAGUAGAGGUGGGCGGAAUUCGUGGUGUAGCGGUGAAAUGCUUAGAUAUCACGAAGAACUCCGAUUGCGAAGGCAGUUCACUGGACUGCAACUGACACUGAGGCUCGAAAGUGUGGGUAUCAAACAGGAUUAGAUACCCGUGUAGUC
rnacentral:rRNA from 1 species